AGGCCCUGCUUGCAGGGUACUCGAGUGGCGAACGGGUGAGUAACACGUGGGUGAUCUGCCCUGCACUUCGGGAUAAGCCUGGGAAACUGGGUCUAAUACCGGAUAGGACCAUCGUUUAGUGUCGGUGGUGGAAAGUUUUUCGGUGCAGGAUGAGCCCGCGGCCUAUCAGCUUGUUGGUGGGGUAAUGGCCUACCAAGGCGUCGACGGGUAGCCGGCCUGAGAGGGUGGACGGCCACAUUGGGACUGAGACACGGCCCAGACUCCUACGGGAGGCAGCAGUGGGGAAUAUUGCACAAUGGGCGCAAGCCUGAUGCAGCGACGCCGCGUGGGGGAUGAAGGCCUUCGGGUUGUAAACUCCUUUCAGCAGGGACGAAGCUUUUGUGACGGUACCUGCAGAAGAAGCACCGGCUAACUACGUGCCAGCAGCCGCGGUAAUACGUAGGGUGCGAGCGUUGUCCGGAAUUACUGGGCGUAAAGAGCUCGUAGGUGGUUUGUCGCGUCGUCUGUGAAAUUCCGGGGCUUAACUCCGGGCGUGCAGGCGAUACGGGCAUAACUUGAGUGCUGUAGGGGAGACUGGAAUUCCUGGUGUAGCGGUGAAAUGCGCAGAUAUCAGGAGGAACACCGAUGGCGAAGGCAGGUCUCUGGGCAGUUACUGACGCUGAGGAGCGAAAGCAUGGGUAGCGAACAGGAUUAGAUACCCUGGUAGUC
rnacentral:rRNA from 1 species